rnacentral:ncRNA from 1 species
UAACCGAAAAGGCACACUUAUCGAAAGAUAGGGUCGCAAAGCUAUAGGGGUUAAGGCGUUGUCCGCAUGGAAACGUUAUGCUAGCCAGUUACCGAA